UACGUAGGGUGCGAGCGUUGUCCGGAAUUAUUGGGCGUAAAGAGCUCGUAGGCGGUUUUGUCGCGUCUGCUGUGAAAACCCGAGGCUCAACCUCGGGCCUGCAGUGGGUACGGGCAGACUAGAGUGAUGUAGGGGAGACUGGAAUUCCUGGUGUAGCGGUGAAAUGCGCAGAUAUCAGGAGGAACACCGAUGGCGAAGGCAGGUCUCUGGGCAUUAACUGACGCUGAGGAGCGAAAGCAUGGGGGAGCGAACAGG
rnacentral:rRNA from 1 species